GAUGAAGAACGUAGCGAAAUGCGAUACGUAAUGUGAAUUGCAGAAUUCAGUGAAUCAUCGAAUCUUUGAACGCAUAUUGCGCUCUCUGGUAUUCCGGAGAGCAUGCUUGUAUGAGUAUCAGUAAACACCUCAACUUCCAUAUCUUUUUUGAAAUGGGAGUUGGACUUGAGUGAUCCCAACGCUUUUCCUCACCGAAAAGUGGCGGGUUACUUGAAAUGCAGGUGCAGCUGGACUUUUCUCUGAGCUAUAAGCAUAUCUAUUUAGUCUGCCUAAAAAACAGAUUAUUACCUUUGCUGCAGCUAACAUAAAGGAGAUUAGUUCUUGUGCUGACUGAUGCAGGAUUCACAAAGACAGGCUUCGGCCGACUUUGUAAACUCGAUCUCAAAUCAAGUAAGACUACCCGCUGAACUUAAGCAUAUCAAUAAGCGGAGGA
rnacentral:misc_RNA from 1 species